rnacentral:tRNA from 1 species
GCCCUCGUAGCUCAGUGGCAGAGCGCCUGUCUCGUAAACAGGAGGUCACGAGUUCAAAUCUCGUCGAGGGCU